AGUCGUAUAAAAUUCUAGAUAAAUAAAGAGAAUGACGAUUUUUUAUCUAAAAGUCUUGACCAAAUUACGUGCCAGCAGUCGCGGUAACACGUAGAAGACUAGUGUUAUUCAUCUUUAAUCGGUAUAAAGGGUACCUAGACAGAUUACCAAGCCUUAAUAGGGACUAGUUUUCUAGAGUUUUAUGUGGGAAUAUACGAAUUACCAGAGGAGAGUCAAAAUUCUAUUAUACUGGUAGGACGGGUAACGGCGAAGGCGAUAUUCUAAGUAAAAACUGACGUUGAGGGACGAAGCCUGGGGCAGCGAUAAGGAUUAGAUACCCUAGUAGUCCUAGGAGAAAAUGAUGAGUGUCAUAGGCUAGUUAAUUUUAGUUUAUAAAUGAAAGUGUAAGCACUCCACCUCAUGACUAAGGCGGAAAUGCACAAAUUGAAAUCAUUAGACCGUUUCUGAAACCAGUAGUGAAGUAUGUUAUUUAAUUCGAUGAUCCGCGAAUAACCUUACCACGUCUUGAAUAUUUAUUAUUACAAGUGCUGCACGGCUGUCUUCAGUUAAUGUCGUGAGACUUUGGUUAAUUCCUUUAAUUAACGAAAUCCCUAACUUUAUUUGAAACUAAAGUGUUUUUCUAUAAUAGAAACAAUAUAUGGGACCAAGACAAGUCAUCAUGGCCUAAAUAGCGUGGGCUAUA
rnacentral:rRNA from 1 species